rnacentral:rRNA from 1 species
CGGACGGGUGAGUAACGCGUGGAAAACCUGCCGUAUACUGGGGGAUAACACUUAGAAAUAGGUGCUAAUACUGCAUAAGCGCACAGCUUCGCAUGAAGCGGUGUGAAAAACUCUGGUGGUAUACGAUGGUUCCGCGUCUGAUUAGCUAGUUGGUGGGGUAAUGGCCUACCAAGGCAACGAUCAGUAGCCGGCCUGAGAGGGUGAACGGCCACAUUGGGACUGAGACACGGCCCAAACUCCUACGGGAGGCAGCAG